rnacentral:rRNA from 1 species
GAUGAACGCUGGCGGCGUGCUUAACACAUGCAAGUCGAACGAAGCACUUUAUUUGAUUUCCUUCGGGACUGAUUAUUUUGUGACUGAGUGUCGGACGGGUGAGUAACGCUUGGGUAACCUGCCUUUUACAGGGGUAUAACAGUUGGAAACGGCUGCUAAUACCGCAUAAGCGCCCAGCAUCGCCUGAUGCAGUGUGAAAAACUCCGGUGGUAUAAGAUGGACCCGCGUUGGAUUAGCUAGUUGGUGAGGUAACGGCCCACCAAGGCGACGAUCCAUAGCCGACCUGAGAGUGUGACCGGCCACAUUGGGACUGAGACACGGCCCAAACUCCUACGGGAGGCAGCAGGGGGGAAUAUUGCACAAUGGGCGAAAGCCUGAUGCAGCGACGCCGCGUGAGCGAAGAAGUAUUUCGGUAUGUAAAGCUCUAUCAGCAGGGAAGAUAAUGACGGUACCCGACUAAGAAGCACCGGCUAAAUACGU